GACGAACGCUGGCGGCGUGCUUAACACAUGCAAGUCGAACGGAAAGGCCCUGCUAUUGUGCUGUUCUCGAGUGCGGAACGGGUGAGUAACACGUGAGUAACCUGCCCUAGUCUUUCGGAUAACUUAAGGAAACUGGGCCUAAUACCGGAUAGGAUCUGCUGCUCCGUGGAGGGCGUUGGAUAUUUUCGGCGUGUGGGGAUGGACUCGCGGCUUAUCAGCUUGUUGGUGGGGUAGCUGCUUACCCAGGCUUUGACGGGUAGCCGGCCUGUGAGGGUGACCGGCCACAUUGGGACUGAGAGACGGACCAGACGCCAACGGGAGGCAGCAGGGGGGAAUAUGGCACAACGGGCGGAAGUCGGAUGCAGCAGCGUUGCGUUCGGGAUGACGGUCUGUGGGUUAUAAACCGCUUUCGCCUGAGACGAAGCGUGAGUGACGGUAACGAAAAAAGAAGCACCGGCUAACUACGUG
rnacentral:rRNA from 1 species